GACAGAGGGUGCAAACGUUGUUCGGAAUCACUGGGCGUAAAGCGUGUGUAGGCGGCUCCGCAAGUCGGAUGUGAAAGCCCCGGGCUCAACCCGGGAAGUGCACUCGAUACUGCGGAACUAGAGUCUCGGAGAGGUUGGUGGAAUUCUCGGUGUAGAGGUGAAAUUCGUAGAUAUCGAGAGGAACACCGGUGGCGAAGGCGGCCAACUGGACGAAGACUGACGCUGAGACACGAAAGCGUGGGGAGCAAACAGG
rnacentral:rRNA from 1 species